UUGGACGUGAAAGCUCCUGGCUCAACUAGGAGAGGUCGUUCAAAACUGCCUGGCUAGAGGGCGACAGAGGGAGGUGGAAUUCCCGGUGUAGUGGUGAAAUGCGUAGAUAUCGGGAGGAACACCAGUGGCGAAGGCGGCCUCCUGGGUCGCUCCUGACGCUCAGACGCGAAAGCUAGGGGAGCAAACGGGAUUAGAUACCCCGGUAGUCCUAGCUGUAAACGAUGUGGACUUGGCGUUGGUGGGGUCAAAUCCAUCAGUGCCGGAGCUAACGCGAUAAGUCCACCGCCUGGGGACUACGACCGCAAGGUUAAAACUCAAAGGAAUU
rnacentral:rRNA from 1 species